CUGGGUGUAAGGGCGCGUAGGCGGGAAUGCAAGUCAGAUGUGAAAUCUGGGGGCUCAACCCCCAAACUGCAUUUGAAACUGUAUUUCUUGAGUGAUGGAGAGGCAAGCGGAAUUCCUAGUGUAGCGGUGAAAUGCGUAGAUAUUAGGAGGAACACCAGUGGCGAAGGCGGCUUGCUGGACAUUAACUGACGCUGAUGCGCGAAAGCGUGGGGAGCAAACAGGAUUAGAUACCCUGGUAGUCCACGCUGUAAACGAUGAAUACUAGGUGUGGGGGGACUGACCCCCUCCGUGCCGGAGUUAACACAAUAAGUAUUCCACCUGGGGAGUACGAUCGCAAGAUUGAAACUCAAAGGAAUUGACGGGGGCCCGCACAAGCAGUGGAUUAUGUGGUUUAAUUCGAAGCAACGCGAAGAACCUUACCAGGGUUUGACAUCCAACUAACGAAGCAGAGAUGCAUUAGGUGCCCUUCGGGGAAAGUUGAGACAGGUGGUGCAUGGUUGUCGUCAGCUCGUGUCGUGAGAUGUUGGGUUAAGUCCCGCAACGAGCGCAACCCUUAUUGUUAGUUGCUACGCAAGAGCACUCUAACGAGACUGCCGUUGACAAAACGGAGGAAGGUGGGGACGACGUCA
rnacentral:rRNA from 1 species